UUUCACGCAACCUUGUUACGUUUGGGUUGAGUCAGGUAGCUGUCAGACGGAGUAAUUUGGAUGGCCCGUAUUGCAGGCGUCAACAUCCCGGAU
rfam:Pseudomonas bauzanensis strain CGMCC 1.9095 genome assembly, contig: Ga0066784_109